rnacentral:lncRNA from 1 species
GGUCAGGCCUUGGGCUAACGUAGGCACUCGCAGUUCCUCCGCCUUCAGGAAGGUCUUUUUAGCAGGGGCCUUACGGGUGCGCGCUUCGGUCCUGGAGGCCUUAUCCUAGCCUCCUCUCUCCAUCAGCGCCACCCGUCUGGGGCCCAAAAGGAGGGAGCUUUACCUCUGUCCCCCAGCCUUUGGAGUGUCACCAAACAAGCCAUUCGUUCACCAAAUACUUAUUAAGUGCCUGACAACGGAGAUGUAACGCUUCCAAGGCGAUCGAUCGGGCAGUGUCGGUCUGCAGCUGCUAAGCCAAGAAGAUCUGGAAAGGAGUCAGUCAGAGAGCCUUGGGCUCUGGGAGUGGUGCC